AUACAUGCAAGUCGAGCGAAUCGAUGGGAGCUUGCUCCCUGAGAUUAGCGGCGGACGGGUGAGUAACACGUGGGCAACCUGCCUAUAAGACUGGGAUAACUUCGGGAAACCGGAGCUAAUACCGGAUACGUUCUUUUCUCGCAUGAGAGAAGAUGGAAAGACGGUUUACGCUGUCACUUAUAGAUGGGCCCGCGGCGCAUUAGCUAGUUGGUGAGGUAAUGGCUCACCAAGGCGACGAUGCGUAGCCGACCUGAGAGGGUGAUCGGCCACACUGGGACUGAGACACGGCCCAGACUCCUACGGGAGGCAGCAGUAGGGAAUCUUCCGCAAUGGACGAAAGUCUGACGGAGCAACGCCGCGUGAACGAAGAAGGCCUUCGGGUCGUAAAGUUCUGUUGUUAGGGAAGAACAAGUACCAGAGUAACUGCUGGUACCUUGACGGUACCUAACCAGAAAGCCACGGCUAACUACGUGCCAGCAGCCGCGGUAAUACGUAGGUGGCAAGCGUUGUCCGGAAUUAUUGGGCGUAAAGCGCGCGCAGGUGGUUCUUAAGUCUGAUGUGAAAGCCCACGGCUCAACCGUGGAGGGUCAUUGGAAACUGGGGAACUUGAGUGCAGAAGAGGAAAGUGGAAUUCCAAGUGUAGCGGUGAAAUGCGUAGAGAUUUGGAGGAACACCAGUGGCGAAAGCGACUUUCUGGUCUGUAACUGACACUGAGGCGCGAAAGCGUGGGAGCAAACAGGAUUAGAUACCCUGGUAGUCCACGCCGUAAACGAUGAGUGCUAAGUGUUAGAGGGUUUCCGCCCUUUAGUGCUGCAGCUAACGCAUUAAGCACUCCGCCCUUGGGGAGUACGGCCGCCAAGGCCUGAAACUUCAUAAGAAAAUUGACGGGGGGCCCGCCGCAAAGCGGUGGAGCAUGUGGUUUUNUUUUGAAAGCAACGGGAAGAACCCUUCCNCAGGGUCUUGACAUUCCUUUGACAACCCUAGAGAUAGGGCUUUCUCCUUUCGGGGGACAGAAUAACAAGGUGGUGCAUGGUUGUCGUCAGCUCGUGUCGUGAGAUGUUGGGUUAAGUCCCGCAACGAGCGCAACCCUUGAUCUUAGUUGCCAGCAUUCAGUUGGGCACUCUAAGGUGACUGCCGGUGACAAACCGGAGGAAGGUGGGGAUGACGUCAAAUCAUCAUGCCCCUUAUGACCUGGGCUACACACGUGCUACAAUGGAUGGUACAAAGGGCUGCAAACCUGCGAAGGUAAGCGAAUCCCAUAAAGCCAUUCUCAGUUCGGAUUGCAGGCUGCAACUCGCCUGCAUGAAGCCGGAAUCGCUAGUAAUCGCGGAUCAGCAUGCCGCGGUGAAUACGUUCCCGGGCCUUGUACACACCGCCCGUCACACCACGAGAGUUUGUAACACCCGAAGUCGG
rnacentral:rRNA from 1 species